rnacentral:rRNA from 1 species
UAGGGAAUAUUGCGCAAUGGGGGAAACCCUGACGCAGCGACGCCGCGUGCGGGAUGAAGGCCUUCGGGUUGUAAACCGCUUUUGAUUGGGAGCAAGCUUUCGGGUGAGUGUACCUUUCGAAUAAGCGCCGGCUAACUACGUGCCAGCAGCCGCGGUAAUACGUAGGGCGCAAGCGUUAUCCGGAAUUAUUGGGCGUAAAGCGCGCGUAGGCGGUUUUUUAAGUCUGAUGUGAAAGCCCACGGCUCAACCGUGGAGGGUCAUUGGAAACUGGAAAACUUGAGUGCAGAAGAGGAAAGUGGAAUUCCAUGUGUAGCGGUGAAAUGCGCAGAGAUAUGGAGGAACACCAGUGGCGAAGGCGACUUUCUGGUCUGUAACUGACGCUGAUGUGCGAAAGCGUGGGGAUCAAACAGG